UCAAAUCCAACAUUUCUGGAUCUGAUGCUACGUUUUCCACGAUAGCCACCUCGUCCGAUUUGGGUUCCUGGUGAGCUUCUAUUUCAGCUGUUGGCCUCGAUAUUAGCUCGGGGGUAUGGAUCUGAUCCUUCUUAUUCCACAUAUCUUUCUCACCAGACAUCUACAUACAUAAGUUACCCUGAUUAGCAUAUAGUAUAUAUACACAGCAAUCAAGGGUUCUAUAUACGUUGUCUCUUAUUUUGUUUGACGAUAAAUUUAUCCAAUUCUCAUCAACGCCUAUCUCUCUGCCGAAAGACAGCUCCAUCCACUCUGCAUCGAAUCGCAUGAAGGUGAUGACUAAAGCCUGCUCCAAGGUAUAUAUCCUGGUGUGUUUGGCUUCUAUCUCAACCUUCAACUGUCCUAUCUGUAUCUCUCUCUGCUCCAACCUCCCUCGUAACUCGGCCAAUUCUAUCUGUGUUCGGUGAGCAGCAUCCUUGUACUGCUGUUCCGAAAUUUGAAGAGUACGAUUCUGUGCCUCCGCCUGCUCAGCUCUAACCUUUAAGUCAUCGUUUCUAACUAACAAAUCUCUUAUCAUCUCUCUGUCUGUGUACUCCUCGCUAGAGUCCAUCGUCUCUUUGGUCAAGGAAUUACUAUCUUGACUUUCGUCAUCCAUCCUAUGACCAUAAUAAACGAGACAACAUUAGUUCCGAAAUAAAAUAUAUUCAUCGAUAAAAUGAAGGAAUAUUUUAUUUAGUACAACUAAUACUUGAUGGAUCUCUUCAACUCAUCAUAUCCUAUAACUUCUCACCAGAGUACUUCGUCUCUUGGUUCACUGAAUAUCUAUCUUAACUUUCGUUCUCCAUUCUACUAAGGUUAUAACCUAGGUUUCGCAUUCCUAACGUUUAUAACCUACAGCUUUGAUACCAACCUGUGAUGCCCCCAAAUCCGGGUACAUGAAACCCGAACUCGGUGCUUCACGAUACCAUUUCUAUAAGCUGAAUAAUACAAAUAAUAAUACAUUCAAACUUAAUUUACAUACAUCAAAGUUUAUUUCCCAGGUACGAGACCUUCAAAUACAUUCCUUACAAUACUUGAAUAGAUACCAAUACUGACUAUAACCAUUAACUCAUAAUAUAAACUCAUUCGAACAGCUUUCCUUUCCCCUUAUUCGUGCCUGAGACUUCAGGUUGCUCAUACAUAACUGAAAACAUUUAAUUUAAGCAAGGGUGAGCAUUUGAGUGCCCAGCAAGUAAUAGCAAUUAUAUAUAUAAGCUGAAAGAAUAUAAGUAUUCUCUUUACAUAACACUUCUACAACGAAUCGAAAGUUGUGAAGUAAUCUGUACUGAUAAAAAAUUCACAUAACAACUCUCUUUCAAAUUCUUUAAAUUUGGCUCUGGCUCUACCCUUGAAUAGGGUUUAAGAAACAUACUAUGAACAUUCUUUUCAUUUUCGAAAAGGUUUAGCGGAAUUCUAUCCUCAAACCGUCAUAACUUACGGGCACGGAGGGUGAUCAGCCCCGUUGUACCCUGUAUUGAUCAAUACUACAUAACUUGAACGAAAUUCAUCGCUCACUCUAUCCGCCUUGCGCAAAAAUCUUCCCAUAUAGGGAUGUUCAUACAUGCCUGGUUCCAAACCCGAAGGUUUUUAAUCUUGCUCAACAAUAAUAUGUAAUUCAACAUAUAUAUAUACGGGUAAUUGACAAAGGUAUAUCAACAUGUGAAUAAAUGCCAUGAUUAUCCAAGUGGGGACACUUGUAUAACCAUUUAGAAAUCAACUUAACAGAAUAUAUAUCUGAGCUAACAUGUUGAUAAUCAAAGCGUACAUAAUCUGUACAGGAAUAGAAUAAUUCUGAAACUUCUUACUCAUGUCCAUUGCAUAAAGAAAAUGCAAAGGUAGGAUACUUGCCUGAUUCGCUGAUUACAAAUCUCAACUUAGGUUUUAUCUCUUUAUCACAACCUAUCAAUAAUCAGAUCAUUCGUUCGAUUAGAACAAUAUAUCUUAACACAUAGUACUGUCUAUUACAGUCAGCACAUAGUCUAAUCACAUAAUCACAGUGAUCAUACUUUUAGUUCCUAUUCUAUACUUGAAAUAUUUUUAUACAUUUUUCAAAUAUCUCAUCCAUGCUCUUACAGUAGUCUUUUCUUUCUUUUAUAAGGUCUGACAUUUGUCGGCGUACCGACAGCUUUAUCGGGUAAAUACUGAGUCUAAGACUCUUAUUCUAUACCUCAACAUCUGUAAAUAUCAGACAUCUUAUUUUUAAUCAUUUUCGCAAUUUCCAGAAAUUGAAAAAUUUAAAAUAAUUCAAAUCUGUCACUAAAGGGCCUAUAGUGAUAUAACUGUUACUAUAGGUGUUCUUCUUCAAAUUCAGAACUUCAUAAUCGGUUCUCAAGUCAGCUAGUUUGGCCGGCUAUAACUUUCAAAUAUCGGAAUCAUAAUUAAAUGAUUUAAACAUUAAACAAUUCCAUUAUCAUUAAUAGUUUAAUUAAUACUAAACUAUUAAUGAAACCAUUGCCAAAAUAUAAAAGUUAUUUAUAAUAACUCAAACUAUUUUUAAAACAUUUAUAUUACCCAAAUAAUUACCAUUAAUAUUUAAAUAUUAAUGUACUAUUUAUCCAAAUAUUAAAAGUCAUUAAUUAUAACUUAAAAUAUUUUUAAAUCCUUAAUAUCCUCUUUAAAUGGUUUUUAAAUAAGUAAAACCAUUUUUAAACUAUUUAUUUAAUAUUAAUCAUUAAAUAAACUAAAUAUCAUUAAUAUUAUCUUAAUAUCAUUAAUAUUUAAUUAUUAAUGAAAUUAUCAUUUAAAUAUUAAAAGUUAUAUUUUAUAACUUAAAAUAUUUUUAAAUACCUUAUUUUCAUUUAAAAUGAUUUUUAUAAUAUUAAAAUCAUUUUUAAACUAAAUUAUUUAAUAUAAUCAUUAAAUAACUUUAAUAUCAUUAAUAAUUAUUAAUUAAUGAAAUUCAUCACAAAAUAUUAAAAGUCAUCACAAAUAACUCAUUUACAUAAUCAAUUCCAAGCCAAAAUAAACAUAGUAAACUAACUAGUUUAUUAACAAAACUAACUAAACUUCAAAAAUUCAAACUUUAACUAACAACUAUUUACAAUAUUUAAAAUAAUAACAUUACAAAAAAAUUAAAUAAGAAACAUACCCGAAAAUAAGAAUUCCACAAACUGAAUACGUACUCGACUAAGAUUUAACUAAGGAGAUCUUUAUAAAAAGUCCUCCCACAACAAAACAUUUCUCAAAAUUGGAUGCCUUAUUGUUGGUGAAUGAAACAAAGGCCAAGCCCUUUUAUUUAUAGGUUUAGAAAAUGGUGAAUUUCUUAAUUUAGUCGAUGUGGGACUUGGUUUAUACUAAUUUUUCAAUAGCUCACUUUGCGAUUUUCUCACGCCUUGCUCAUUUAUCAGAAAAUUCCCAACUUUGGAUAUGUUAUACAUGGUAUACCAAAGUAUUUUUAAAAAAUAUAACUCAGUAAUUUCGGAUCUCUUAGGAAGCCUAAAACAGACCCCAAAAAUGUCCACUCGCAACCGUUUUUAUCUAUUUCCCAGAUUUACCCUCUUUCGCUAAAACAGUCAUAACGCUUUCGAUUUAAAACAUUUUUAGACGAUUCUUGAGCCCACGCGAAGCUAUCUUCCGAGACUACAACUCUUUCCUACUGACUUGUUUCCAAAUUCCAAACACAUCAGCCCAGAAAUUUCGUUCAAGUGGACUACACCGCAUUUGUUGGACAAUUUUGACACUACUACUUUGAAAUGUCAUAACUCUCUCCUCCGAUAUCGGAUUUAGUCCGUUUCAGAGUCUAUGAAAAGCUUAUUCAGUGUACUACAACAUAUCAAAAGCCCAGACCUUUUAAAGCACAAAAAGUUGACGAGAAUGCCCCCGUUACAGACUGCCCAAAAACAGUUUCUCAUGAUCGGUCAACCAUGUUUGACCAUCUAUAACUUCUAAUCUAUACAUGAUACGGACUUGAUUCUUUUUUCAGAUUAAAGACCCCAUAAGAAGCUACACAUAACAACUUAAAAACAACAAAAAUCAUGAUCGAUCGAAGAUCUACAAGCUCUGACAUUUGACGAAAAAUCACAGAAAUGGAAUUUUUCAGAUUUCUCAAAUCUUCAAAUUCGUGUACUUUGAUGUUAUGGGUCUUUGAUUUAUCAACCCAUAUCAUCAAUUAACAUCCUAUUACACAACUUUAAACAAUCAAUUGCAUUCUAGGAUUAGGGUUUUAUACCUUUUAUGCACAAAAAUUCUUGAUUCCUUGUUUCUGAUUUGUUGUUUGUGAUGGUUGGGCUUUGAUUAUGAGUGUAUGGGCAAGAUGAAUUCGUAGGUUUGAGCUUGAGAGAGUCUAGGAUGAGAGUUAGGAAAAUUCAAGUGUACAAAAUAUACUAACUCUCUCCAUUCUUUAUAUAAGCUAAGCCAAAUGCAUUGGAUGCUCAAAUUGNNNNNNNNNNNNNNNNNNNNNNNNNNNNNNNNNNNNNNNNNNNNNNNNNNNNNNNNNNNNNNNNNNNNNNNNNNNNNNNNNNNNNNNNNNNNNNNNNNNNAUUAUCUGUGUGUGUUACUAACAUAGUCGUUCUGGUGUCUAACUUCAACCGAUUAGGGUUAUAAUAAUUAGGGUUUGUCCUAAUUAUCGGCGUAAAAAUAGUAAUUAGGGUUUGUUCUAAUUACCGACAUUUUUAUACACAGUAACUUCAUAUACAUAGUCACUACUCAGUCAUAUCUCAUAACUGAGUUUAAUAAUUAGGGUUUCACAGCAAGGUAAUAAGCUAUGACCUAAUGGACCGUCAUUGCUCAGCUUUAUCUGUUCGCACAUACACAGUACAUAUUUAUGAUACUGUAAAAUCAUAAUAUAGAUAAUAUAAUAUUAUUAUUCUUAUCUCUUGAUCACAAUCCCAAUUCAGGGUUUAGAUUCCAUAUCUGACUUAUUCUUCGUACACAACAUCAAUAAUCAAGUUAAAAUAAUUAACUUAAAUAUUCUGACAAUUCAUAUAAUAAAAUAUUUAUUAUAUAAAUCUAAUUAUCACUUCAUAUAUUAUUUCCAAUCAUAUUUUCAUGGAAAAUAAUUAAUAAAAAUAUUUCGGCUUAAAGAAGUUAAUUACUGUACAAUAUAAUUUAUAGUAAUUAAUAAUUCCAAAAUUAUUUCUAAUUUUUCAAGUAAUAAAUAUAUUUGCGUUUAUCGUUCACAUUACUUGACACUUAUUCUCGUCAUUAAAUAAAUAAAUAAAAAAUUUAUAUGCAAAAUUUCUUAUUUAUUUUAUAUAGAAAAUCUCGGGUUAUUACAUUCACCCUCCCUUAUAAGGAUUCCGUCCCCGGAAUCACCGCUUUAAAACUCAUACAUAGAAGGGUACAUAACAUAUACAAUCUUUGCACGUAGACCUCGAUCAUACUUGAUUGAACUGGUCUUUCACUAUUCUUCAUAACACUCUGAUUAGGCAGAAAUUUGAUUUCUAAAAGAAAACUCAAAAUUCCUUUAUAAAAACAAUAAUCUACUUUAUAUUAUUGUAGGAAAAUCAUAUAAGAUAUAUAAGUUAUUCAAAUAGCACCUGGAGUUCUGUUUCCAGCUGCCACCGUAUCCUGGACUGUCAUGUUGUAGACCCUCGGAGUUGCUUUCGUUGGGGGUACUGGUCGAGUUUGAUCCUGAAAUUUCUAAAGAACCACUGUUUCUCCCCGUGGUUACGUUUCCUGCCUCCAUUCCCCUUUUUGGACAGUUUCUCACCUUAUGCUCAGUCGAUCCGCAUAUAAAGCAUCCACUGAUCACCCUUGAGUUGGGGCAGUUGGGAGAGACAUGGCCCUCUUGCCUGCACUUAUAACAUACGAACUUACCCUUCAGACACUCCCUAGAGUGAUUCUUCCCGCAGUUCUUACACUGCAUUACCUGCUUCUUUGCACCUUCCUGUUUCACUUGCACAUUCUCAGAAAAAUUCCUCAUUCUUUUCUCACCCCUAUUCCCGUUACUACUUUCCAUCUUCAUUGCUCCUCCUGACUUGCUUUUGUUCUUCUUCUCCUUGUGGUAGAGGCUCAUGGCCUCACUCCCCUGUUCAGCUAUGAUAGCCUUUUCCAUGAGUGCUGCAAAAGUGUUUAUUUUCAGUACUGACACCUUAUUGUAGAGCCAGGGUUUUAAGCCCAACUCAAAUCUCCUUGCCUUCCUAGCCUCUGUAUCCACUUGAUGUGGAGCAAACCUAGCCAACUCAUUAAACUUUGCGGCAUAUUCCGCAACAGUCAUGUUCUCCUGUUUUAACUCCUGGAAUUUCACCUCCAUUCUAGACUGCAUACUAACAGAGAGAUAGUUUUCGAAAAAUAAAUUCUUAAAUCUAUCCCAAGUAAUUUCUUCUUCUCCUGCCCGAGUUUUAUUUGCCUCCCACCAAAAGUUAGCCUCCCCUUUCAUCAUAUAAGUGGCAAAAGUGGUCUUUUGCCCCUCAUCUUCCCAAGCAAUUACGAACGCCUUUUCUAUCUCGUUAACCUAUGUCUGGGUUUCUUUAGGGUCAGCUGAUCCUCUGAAUUCUGGUGGUCCUACUGCUUUGAAGUCUUUGAAUUUUACCAAGCGAUUGUCUGGCUGGUUUCCUGCAACUGGUGUUCCCUGCUGCAUAGCCUGAGCUACCAUGUUUGCCAAGUUUUACAUCAGUUCUGGCUGUCGUUCCCAAGCAUUGGUAGAUUCUUCUAUCCUUUGGUUUCGAGUUUGACGUCUUGGUGGCAUUAUCACUUAUUUACCAAGCCUUUUUCUCGGACAUUCAUUCGAUCGAUGUCCUUCCAUCCCACAAUUAAAACAUCCACCUUUCUUAUAGUCGGGGCAACGAGGAGAGGUAUGUCCCUCACGGCAGCAAAUAUAACAUAUCUUCUUCCCUUUCAUCUUAUCAGGUUUUCCUACGUCAGGGUCUUCUAUCUUUCUUUUUCCCUUAUCUCUCGGAGCUGCACACGAUGUGUUGCUUAAGGCUCCCAUCUGGUCAAUUUGGAUUUUGAGCUUAUCCUGCUCUUCCAUUGUUUCUAGCAAUGCUUGAUGCAGUUGAAUAUUAAGCAACGCCUCUAUCUCCCACAGCCUUUCCAGCGAAGAAACCUUGUUCUCGAGAUACUGCACCUCCAUUGAUGCUUGAGAAGCAUUAACUUUAGUGUCUGAAUCACUAUCUGUCAAAUCCAACAUUUCUGGAUCUGAUGCUACGUUUUCCAUGAUAGCCACCUCGUCCGAUUUGGGUUCCUGGCGAGCUUCUAUUUCAGCUGUUGGCCUCGAUAUUAGCUUGGGGGUAUGGAUCUGAUCCUUCUUAUUCCACAUAUCUUUCUCACCAGACAUCUACAUACAUAAGUUACCCUGAUUAGCAUAUAGUAUAUAUACACAACAAUCAAGAGUUCUAUAUACGUUGUCUCUUAUUUUGUUUGACGAUAAAUUUAUUCAAUUCUCAUCAACGCCUAUCUCUCUGCUGAAAGGCAGCUCCAUCCACUCUGCAUCGAAUCGCAUGAAGGUGAUGACUAAAGCCUGCUCCAAGGUAUAUAUCCUGGUGUCUUUAGCUUCUAUCUCAACCUUCAACUGUCCUAUCUGUAUCUCUCUCUGCUCCAACCUCCCUCGUAACUCGGCUAAUUCAAUCUGUGUUCGGUGAGCAGCAUCCUUGUACUGCUAUUCCGAAAUUUGGAGAGUACGAUUCUGUGCCUCCGCCUGCUCAGCUCUAACCUUUAAGUCAUCGUUUCUAACUAACAAAUCUCUUAUCAUCUCUCUGUCUGUGUACCCCUCGCUAGAGUCCAUCGUAUCUUGGGUCAAGGAAUUACUAUCCUGACUUUCGUCAUCCAUCCUAUGACCACAAUAAACGAGACAACAUUAGUACCGAAAUAAAAUAUAUUCAUCGAUCAAACGAAGGAAUAUUUUAUUUAGUACAACUAAAACUUGAUGGAUCUCUUCAACUCAUCAUAUCCUAUAACUUCUCACCAGAGUACUUCGUCUCUUGGUUCACUGAAUAUCUAUCUUAAUUUUCGUUCUCCAUUCUACUAAGGUUAUAACCUAGGUUUCGCAUUCCUAACGUUUAUAACCUACAGCUUUGAUACCAACCUGUGACGCCCCCAAAUCCGGGUACAUGAAACCCGAACUCGGUGCUUCACGAUACCAUUUCUAUAAGCUGAAUAAUACAAAUAAUAAUACAUUCAAACUUAAUUUACAUACAUCAAAGUUUAUUUCCCAGGUACGAGACCUUUAAAUACAUUCCUUACAAUACUUGAAUAGAUACCAAUACUGACUAUAACCAUUAACUCAUAAUAUAAACUCAUUCGAACAACUUUCCUUUCCCCUUAUUCGUGCCUGAGCCUUCAGGUUGCUCAUACAUAACUGAAAACAUUUAAUUUAAGCAAUGGUGAGCAUUUGAGUGCCCAGCAAGUAAUAACAAUUAUAUAUAUAAGCUGAAAGAAUAUAAGUAUUCUCUUUACAUAACACUUCUACAACGAAUUAAAAGUUGUGAAGUAAUCUGUACUGAUAAAAAAUUCACAUAACAACUCUCUUUCAAAUUCUUAAAAUUUGGCUCUACCCAUGAAUAGGGUUUAAGAAACAUACUAUGAGCAUUCUUUUCAUUUUCGAAAAGGUUUAGUAGAAAUCCAUCCGCAAACCGUCAUAACUUACGGGCAUAGAGGGUGAUCAGCCCCGUUGUACCAUGUAUUGAUCAAUACUAAAUAACCUGAACGAAAUUCAUUGCUCACNNNNNNNNNNNNNNNNNNNNNNNNNNNNNNNNNNNNNNNNNNNNNNNNNNNNNNNNNNNNNNNNNNNNNNNNNNNNNNNNNNNNNNNNNNNNNNNNNNNNGCUCACUCUAUCCGCCUUGGGCGCAAAAAUUUUCCCAUAUAGGGAUAUUCAUACAUGUCUGGUUCCAAACCCGAAGGUUUUUAAUCUUGCUCAACAAUAAUAUGAAAUUCAACAUAUAUAUAUAUAUAUAUAUAUAUAUACGGGUAAUUGACAAAGGUGUAUCAACAUGUGAAUAAAUAACAUGAUUAUCCAAGUAGGGACACUUGUAUAACCAUUUAGAAAUUAAUGAAUACAGAAUAUAUAUCUGAGCUAACAUGUCGAUAAUCAAAGAGUACAUAAUCUGUACAGGAAUAGAAUAAUUCUGAAACUUCUUACUCAUGUCCAUUGCAUAAAGGAAAUGCAAAGGUAUACCAAAGUAUUUUUAAAAAAUAUAACCCAGUAAUUUCGGAUCUCUUAGGAAGCCUAAAACAGACCCCAAAAAUGUCCACUCGCAACGGUUUUUAUCUAUUUCCCAGAUUUACCCUCUUUCGCUAAAACAGUCAUAACUCUUUCGUUUUAAAACAUUUUUAAACGAUUCUUGAGCCCACGCGAAGCUAUCUUCCGAGAAUAAAACUCUUCCCUACUGACUUGUUUCCAAAUUCCAAACACAUCAGCCUAGAAAUUCCAUUCAAGUGGACUGCACCGCAUUUGUUGGACAGUUUUGACACUACUACUUUGAAAUGUCAUAACUCUCUCCUCCGAUAUCGGAUUUAGUCCGUUUCGGAGUCUAUGAAAAUCUUAUUUAGUGUAAUACAACAUAUCAAAAGCCCAGAACUUUUUAAGCACAAAAAGUGGACGAGAAUGCCCCCGUUACAGACUGCCCAAAAACAGUUUCUCAUGAUCGGUCAACCAUAUUUGACCAUCUAUAACUUCUAAUCUAUACAUGAUACGGACUUGAUUCUUUUUUCAGAUUAAAGACCACAUAACAAGCUACACAUAACUACUUAAAAACAACAAAAAUCAUGAUCGAUCAAAGAUCUAUAAGCUCUGACAUUUGACGAAAAAUCACAGAAAUGGAAUUUUCCAGAUUUCUCAAAUCUUCAAAUUCGUGUACUUUGAUGUUAUGGGUCUUUGAUUUAUCAACCCAUAUCAUCAAUUAAUAUCCUAUUACACAACUUUAAACAAUCAAUUACAUCAAAUAACAUCGAAUCAAAGGAUUUCUAGGCUUAUGGUUUUAUACCUUUUAUGCACAAAAAUUCUUGAUUCCUUGUUUCUGAUUUGUUGUUUGUGAUGGUUGGGCUUUGAUUAUGAGUGUAUGGGCAAGAUGAAUUCGUAGGUUUGAGCUUGAGAGAGUCUAGGAUGAGAGUUAGGAAAAUUCAAGUGUACAAAAUAUACUAACUCUCUCCAUUCUUUAUAUAAGCUAAGCCAAAUGCAUUGGAUGCUCAAAUUGGUUGGUACAAUUGAUUGUUUAGCUGAUAAGUUUGGUGGGGUAGGGAUGUUGGCCAUGAUUUUUGCAAGAUUCUAUCAACAAUGUAACUAAUAAUACACUAAUAAACCAAAAAGGGUAUUUUGGUAAUUUCACAUAUAAAUUUCAAGGGCAUUCUUGUACAUAGCAAUUAAAUAUAAUAUUUAAUCACUAGAUGGUAAUUUUUAUCAUUUACCAAUUACUUCUAUCCUUUGGUAAAUUAAAACUUUAUACAAUAACAUCGAAAUUAAACCCGAUAAUUUAAAAUUAGGGUUUUCUAUUGAACAUUUAGGGUUCUAUAAUUAGGGUUUCUUAACGUCAUCAAUUAGGGUUUCUAAUUGACCAUUAGGGUUCUCUAAUUAUCUAUGUAUGUUACUAACACAGUCAUUACAAUUUCUAACUUCAACCGAUUAGGGUUAUAAUAAUUAGGGUUUGUCCUAAUUAUCGGUGUAAAAAUAGUAAUUAGGGUUUGUCCUAAUUACCGACAUUCUUAUACACAGUAACUUCAUAUACACAGUCACUACUCAGUCAUAUCUCAUAACUGAGUUUAAUAAUUAGGGUUUCACAGCACGAUAAUAUGCUAUGACCUAAUGGACCGUCAUUGCUCAACUUUAUCUGUUUGCAUAUACACAGUACAUAUUUAUGAUACUGUAAAAUCAUAAUAUAGAUAAUAUAAUAUUAUUAUUCUCAUCUCUUGAUCAUAAUCCCAAUUCAAGGUUUGGAUUCCAUAUCUGACUUAUUCUUCGUACACAGCAUCAAUAAUCAAGUUAAAAUGAUUAACUUAAAUAUUCUGACAAUUUAUAUAAUAAAAUAUUUAUUAUAUAAAUCUAAUUAUCACUUCAUAUAUUAUUUCCAAUCAUGUUGUCAAAGAAAAUAAUUAAUAAAAACAUUUCGGCUUACAGAAAUUAAUUACCAUAACAAUAUAAUUUGUGGUAAUUAAUAAUUCCAAAAUUAUUUCUAAUUUUUCAAGUAAUAAAUAUAUUCGCAUUUAUCGUUCACAUUACUAGACGCUUAUUCUUGUCAUUAAAUAAAUAAAUAAAAAAAAUUUAUACGCAAAAUUUCUUAUUUAUUUUAUAUAGAAAAUCUCGGGUUAUUACAUUCACCCUCCCUUAUAAGGAUUCUGUCCCCGGAAUCACCGCUUUAAAACUCAUACAUAGAAGGGUACAUAGCAUAUACAAUCUUUGCACGUAGACCUCGAUCAUACUUGAUUGAACUGGUCUUUAACUAUUCUUCAUAACACUCUAAUUAGGCAGAAAUUUGAUUUCUAAAAGAAAACUCAAAAUUCCUUUAUAAAAACAAUAAUCUACUUUAUAUGUAUGUAGGAAAAUCAUAGAAGAUAUAUAAGUUAUUCAAAUAGCACCUGGAGUUCUAUUUCCAGCUGCCACCGUAUCCUGGACUGUCAUGUUGUAGACCCUCGGAGUUGCUUUCGUUGGGGUACUGGUUGAGUUUGGUCCUGAAAUUGCUAAAGAACCACUGUUUCUCCCCGUGGUUACGUUUCCUGCCUCCAUUCCCCUUUUUGGACAGUUCCUCACCUUAUGCUCAGUCGAUUCGCAUAUAAAGCAUCCACUGAUCACCCUUGAGUUGGGGCAGUUGGGAGAGAUAUGUCCCUCUUGCCCGCACUUAUAGCAUACGAACUUACCCUUCAGACACUCGCCAGAGUGAUUCUUCCCACAGUUCUUACACUGCACUACCUACUUCUUUGCACCUUCCUGUUUCACUUGCACAUUCUCAGAAAAAUUCCUCAUUCUUUUCUCACCCCUAUUCCCGCUACUACUUUCCAUCUUCAUUGCUCCUCCUGACUUGCUUUUGUUCUUCUUCUCCUUGUGGUAGAGGCUCAUGGCCUCACUCCCCUGUUUAGCUAUGAUAGCCUUCUCCAUGAGUGCUGCAAAAGUAUUUAUUUGCAGUACUGACACCUUAUUGUAGAGCCAGGGUUUUAAGCCCAGCUCAAAUCUCCUUGCCUUCCUAGCCUCUGUAUCCACUUGAUGUGGAGCAAACUUAGCCAACUCAUUAAACUUUGCGGCAUAUUCCGCAACAGUCAUGUUCUCCUGUUUUAACUCUAGGAAUUUCACCUCCAUUCUAGACUGCAUACUAAUAGAGAGAUAGUUUUUGAAAAAUAAAUUCUUAAAUCUAUCCCAAGUAAUUUCUUCUUCUCCUGGCCGAGUUUUAUUUGCCUCCCACCAAAAGUUAGCCUCCCCUUUCAUCAUAUAAGUGGCAAAAGCAGUCUUUUGCCCCUCAUCUACCCUAGCAAUUACGAACGCCUUUUCUAUCUCGUUAACCCAUGUCUGGGCUUCUAUAGGGUCAGCUGAUCCUUUGAAUUUUGGUGGUCCUACUGCUUUGAAGUCUUUGAAUUUUUCCAAGCGAUUGUCUGGCUGGUUUCCUGCAACUGGUGUUCCCUGCUGCAUAGCCUGAGCUACCAUGUUUGCAAAGUUUUGCAUCAAUUCUGGCUGUCGUUCCCCAGCAUUGGUAGAUUCUUCUAUCCUUUGGUUUCGAGUUUGACGUCUUGGCGGCAUUAUCACUUAUUUACCAAGCCUUUUUCUCGGACAUUCAUUCGAUCGAUGUGCUUCCAUCCCAUAAUUAAAACAUCCACCUUUCUUAUAGUCGGGGCAACGAGGAGAGGUAUGUCCCUCACGGCCGCAAAUAUAACAUAUCUUCUCCCCUUUCUUCUUAUCAGGUUUUCCUACCUCAGGGUCUUCUAUCUUUCUUUUUCCCUUACCUCUCGGAGCUGCACACGAUGUGUUUCUUAAGGCUCCCAUCUGGUCAAUUUGGAUUUUGAGCUUAUCCUGCUCUUCCAUUGUUUCUAGCAAUGCUUGACGCAAUUGAAUAUUAAGCAACGCCUCUAUCUCCCACAACCUUUCCAGUGAAGCAACCUUGUUCUCCAGAUACUGCACCUCCGUUGAUGCUUGAGCAGCUUCAACUUUAGUGUCUGAAUCACUAUCUGUCAAUUCCAACAUUUCUGGAUCUGAUGCUACNNNNNNNNNNNNNNNNNNNNNNNNNNNNNNNNNNNNNNNNNNNNNNNNNNNNNNNNNNNNNNNNNNNNNNNNNNNNNNNNNNNNNNNNNNNNNNNNNNNNGAUCCUUCUUAUUCCACAUAUCUUUCUCACCAGACAUCUACAUACAUAAGUUACCCUGAUUAGCAUAUAGUAUAUAUACACAGCAAUCAAGAGUUCUAUAUACGUUGUCUCUUAUUUUGUUUGAUGAUAAAUUUAUUCAAUUCUCAUCAACGCCUAUCUCUCUGCCGAAAGGCAGCUCCAUCCACUCUGCAUCGAAUCGCAUGAAGGUGAUGACUAAAGCCUUCUCCAAGGUAUAUAUCCUAGUGUCUUUGGCUUCUAUCUCAACCUUCAACUGUCCUAUCUAUAUCCCUCUCUGCUCCAACCUCCCUCGUAACUCGGCUAAUUCUAUCUGUGUUCGGUGAGCAGCAUCCUUGUAC
rnacentral:lncRNA from 1 species